rnacentral:rRNA from 1 species
UGAAUCAUCGAAUCUUUGAACGCACCUUGCACCCUUUGGCAUUCCGAAGGGUAUGCUCGUUUGAGUGUUAUUGUACUCUCACACUCUCCAAUCUUUUCGAUUGGGAGUGGUGGACUUGGGUGUUGCUGCUUCACUGUGGCUCACCUCAAAUGUGUUAGUGCAACUCCUUGGUUGGACAUAGUACGGCAUGAUAAGUAUCUUUGCCGGCGCCUCACAAGAGGGUGGCCAAUUGGGGAGCUCUGUGCUUCAAACUGUCUUUGGACAAUCUCCUGACAACUUAACCUCAAAUCGAGUAGGACUACCCGCUGAACUUAAGCAUAUCAAUAAGCGGAGGAAAAGAAACUAACAAGGAUUCCCCUAGUAACGGCGAGUGAAGAGGGAAGAGCUCAAAUUUUGAAUCUGGCGUCUUUGGCGUCUGAGUUGUAAUCUAGAGAAGUGUUUUCCGUGGCGGACCGUGCAUAAGUCUCCUGGAACGGAGCGUCAUAGAGGGUGAGAAUCCCGUAUAUGGCAUGGACUCCCGUUGCUCUGUGAUACACUCUCGA